GAUGAACGCUGGCGGCGUGCCUAAUACAUGCAAGUCGAGCGAACAGACGAGGAGCUUGCUCCUCUGACGUUAGCGGCGGACGGGUGAGUAACACGUGGAUAACCUACCUAUAAGACUGGGAUAACUUCGGGAAACCGGAGCUAAUACCGGAUAAUAUAUUGAACCGCAUGGUUCAAUAGUGAAAGACGGUUUUGCUGUCACUUAUAGAUGGAUCCGCGCCGCAUUAGCUAGUUGGUAAGGUAACGGCUUACCAAGGCAACGAUGCGUAGCCGACCUGAGAGGGUGAUCGGCCACACUGGAACUGAGAAACGGUCCAGACUCCUAAGGGAGGCAGCCGUAGGGAAUCUUCCGCAAUGGGCGAAAGCUUGACGGAGCAACGCCGCGUGAGUGAUGAAGGUCUUCGGAUCGUAAAACUCUGUUAUUAGGGAAGAACAAAUGUGUAAGUAACUAUGCGCGUCUUGACGGGACCUAAUCAGAAAGCCACGGCUAACUACGUG
rnacentral:rRNA from 1 species